UACGUAGGCAGCGAGCGUUGUUCGGAAUUACUGGGCGUAAAGAGUGUGUAGGCGGUGCUCUAAGUUCGGUGUGAAAUCUCCCGGCUUAACUGGGAGGGUGCGCCGGAAACUGGAAUGCUCGAACGUGGGAGAGGAAAGCGGAAUUCCUGGUGUAGCGGUGAAAUGCGUAGAUAUCGGGAAGAACACCCGUGGCGAAGGCGGCUCUCUGGGACGGUACUGACGCUGAGACGCGAAAGCGUGGGGAGCGAACAGG
rnacentral:rRNA from 1 species